UAAAGUAAUUACGAAGCAAUGAGUUUUGAGUAUUUGUCACCUUCACUUUUAAUAUGUUUUAUUUAAUUAUAAGUUUAUAUGAUGCAAUUCUUGAUAACGGGCGAGUGGGCAUUGAUUUGCAAAAUUCGGAAAAUUCAACAGUUAUUACCACUUAGUAUGAGCCAGCUCCAGGAUACCACUAUCUAGGAUUUUUAGAGUGCCAACAUUCUAAAUCUUUAUACUAAAGCAUAAGCCGUUUGAAGCUGGGAAGGGCCAAGUGGAAUAAACCUAGGGAUUUUGGAAGUGUGCUCAGGAGGGGGGCAGAAAAACAUGUUUUCAGUGUAAUAUCCCACACAGAGCACAGAACUAAAAAAUAGAUGGCCAGCCAGUGAAUGAUGCAAUGACCCAACGGGGCAGUGGCCCAACCCACAUGCAGUAGGCUUUGUACUUUGAGUUAUUUUUUAAACCAUUAGUGGGGUAGGUUUAUAUUCCAUCCACCCACAUUAUGUCAUCCAGCCUUCCAUGGGACAAGUGGCACCAACUGUGGCCAGGAGGUAUCAGCAAUGCACUUAGUUACAAUGAGGUCUUGGAGAGCCUACAACAGGGACGUCAUCUGAUACACAGACUGGUCACAGCUGAAAAUCCAGGCAUUUCCAGAGCCCUGCAUGGAUUCUACCUAGACUUCCAGGCAGCCGCAAUCACCUUUGGGUUAGCAUUUUUCAUAACCCCAUGUGUGACCACAAGGCAGAGACAGAAUGCUACGGGAAUGAGAAUGUAUUUUCAAGAACACCCAGGAAUGAGGUAG
rnacentral:lncRNA from 1 species